UGUUAAUUAGAUUACCCUAUGAUAUUUCCGUCACUCUUUCUUUCAAUUCUACGACUCAAUCAGAAACCCUAAUCUCGCCUCUUCACUGGAUUAUUUGCAUCUUUUGCUUUCCAGUCUGUCUUCUACUCAUCUUAUCUUCAAUCUCGGGUUUUACUUUCUCUCUUCAGUCGGUUGCUGCAAGAUGGUUUAUUGCUCACCAACACCUUUAAUUCCAUUGAUCGCCCUAUCGUGCAUAUUUGAUUUUAAUGUUUGACCUAAAUGAUGGAGGAAUUCUGAUUUAUCUAUCAAAAGGUAUGAAAUUUCGGAAGUGGAUCCGUGAAACAAAUUUUGUAUUUAUUCAACCAAAUACAACGAACAAGUUUUGGUGUUAUUCACUUAUUCUUGAUGACUUCAGAAUGGAUUCCAUCUUGGACAUAUCUCAAAAUGAUUUCAUGUGGAUCACUUAGAGGUAACCCGUGACUUUGAAUGUUUGCUUGGGGGAAUAGUUCUAUGAUAGAGAGUUCUAUUUUAGAGUUGUGAGAUGCAAAACACACACAUGAAUAAGCACUAUCUAGGGACAUGAUCAUCUAUCUCUGGGCAUGCGAUUGACCAUCGUGGUCGCCAUCGACAUAGUGCCAGAGCUGAGCUUAGAGGUAGCACAGCCGAUCAGAGAAUCAACUUAUUGCUUUGGUGCAGAAGGUACAUAAUCCUUCUUUCAACACUAUUGUUUGAUUUAUUAUUAAUUCAAGUUUCACUAAAAACAUAACAAAAUAUAUUUCUUAAGAUGUUGUACUCUUAAGUUUUAAUUUAUUUUUUGUUUCAAUUUCUUUAAACAUAAAUAAUCAGUGUGUUGAACAUGGUUAAAUAACUUUAUUAUGAAAAAAAAACUAUUCUAAAUUCUUUAGGCAAUAUGGUGUGUAGCCAAGCCUCUUGGUGCCCUCCUUCAUUUGGAUGAAUUUGAUUGGGCCAACAAGGCUAAAAAAUGGGGUCCAAAACUAGAGCCCUUUAGCGCUUGCCAUUGCCCGUCGUCACUCCACACCGAUUAGCGACUUAAGAGGUUGUAGGUAUUCAGAUACACUUCGAGUCGCUUUUUAUAUGACCCAUGCCAUUUUAACUAACUGUUUUUAUUUAGAAAUACACCGCAUCUCAAAUCAAUAGUCAGUGCUUUAAAGCACUAGAAAACAACACUGAUUGGAAAAAAAAAUAUUAACUAAACUAUUGCUUUUUUUCUUUUUUUACUGCACUUUCUUUUGUUUUGUUUUAAUUCUUUUCAGUUUAAUUUUAUUAGAUUAUUUUUUUGUAUUUACUAAUUUAUUAUUUAGCAUAUCAACCCCACAAAAUAAAAACACGUUACCACUAUAUUUUUAGGAUUUCACUGUCGUUUAGAGGAGAAAGAUUUAGGAUAUUCCUUACUUAUUCUGCUCGCCUUAGGCUGUGCGGUGUAGGGAUCGUCCCCGCCCCGUCCUGGAUCGGCACCGCCGUCCCCCCAUUUCGCCCCCACCGCCGGCGUCCUGAACGUCCGCAUGAAGAUGUUGGAGACGGGCCUCCCCCUCUCUCACACACCUAUACAUACAAUAUAUACAUAUAUAUUUUAGGUCCAUCUCCCAUUUCCUUACCUCCAUCCUCUUUGCCCCAUCCUCGCACCCGAUCUACGUGGUGGACCAUCCUCCAAAGAUGGACCCAUCACCAUACCGCAUAGCCUUAUUAAAGCGGCUCACUUUUCACACGCUAACCAUAAUUAUUACUGUUAUCGUUAUAGCUUUUGUUUGUUCUUUGCAUUUCUAUAAUUGUGAUCUUCAGGUUGCCCAAAGUUGAGCUUGAGCUGAAAUUUAAUCUUCGGGGAAAAAAAACUUGAAGUGUUACUUAAUCAUAUGUCUCGCAAGUAUUGAUAGUGUUUUUUCUAUUUUUAGUUUUAUUUUAAUAAUGGUUGAUUGAGAAUCAACUUAUUUCAAAUAUAAUCGUAAUAACUUUUUUUAAGAUGAGAUAUACUAUUGUUAGGAUUUAAGUCAUGUGUGGAAACCUUGAAAUUUUGUUGUGAAUUAUAAUUGUAUUUACCCAUUUAUGAAUGAA